CGGCAACAGCUCAAAUUUGAAAUCUGGCUCUUUCAGGGUCCGAGUUGUAAUUUGUAGAGGGUGCUUUGGCGUUGGCUGUGGUCUAAGUUCCUUGGAACAGGACGUCGCAGAGGGUGAGAAUCCCGUAUG
rnacentral:rRNA from 1 species